UUUAACUUUUAAUUGUAAACCUUUUAAACCGACAAUUAAAACGAUUAUCAAUUAACUAGUUUAAACCUUCCUAAUUUUUAAAUUCUCAUGAAAAGAGAGUUGAAAAGAUUUAUGGUCAAUCAUAUUGGAGAUUGGGAAUAAAGAAUAAAAGUAAAUCCAAUUGUGUGACAAUCUCUCAUCUCUUUGUCUCCUUGAGGCAAAGAGAUGAGACAAUUUCAAUCUCACGGAUGUCGGAACAGGGGAGAGUUUGAGAUCGAAAUCACGAAGUUCCAAUGGAAUUCCAACAUCUCCUGGUGAUUGUCCAAUCUGGAACUUUGAUGGAUCAUCGACAGGUCAAGCUGAAACUUCUGCAUCUGAUGUUCUUUUGGUUCCUGUGACUCUUUACAAAGAUCCUUUUCUCCGAGGUGAUCAUAUGUUGGUUCUUUGUGAAUGUUUGAAUUUACAAGCAACAAUCUGCUAAAGGAAAUUGCCGAAAUUCUUGUGCCCAAUCAAUGGCCAAAGUCGCGAAAGACGAACCAUGGUUUACCUUUGAUAAUAAAAACUGAUCUUGGAUGGCCAGAAUUGAACUCUAUUGAUGAUUAAGUUUAAUUAGAAAGAAAACUUUUUUUUUGGAUGUUUUCAUCAUUUUCGUCUUUCUAUUAAGUAAUAAUUGGCAAGCAUUUUGAGCGAUUACCUUGUUAAUUGUUGCAUGAGUUAAUUUAAAUUUAUCCACAGAAUAGGAUAGAGUAAUUAACAAUUACGAUAAUAAGGAAAACUAAGUAAAAGGGCGAGAAAAACAUUGCUAUUAUUUGGCAGUUUUUCAAGGGCAUUAAAGAGAUACUUAAACAUGUGAGAAUUACAAAAUAUUGUCAUCAUUAAAAGAGAGAUUUUCUUCCUAAACUAAAUUGUAAACAAUUAACGUCACAAUAGACUAGAUUUAAAGUUAGAUACCCUUGACAUACCAGAAAUUGUGUAAAAUUUUCAAAUUAUUGAAAUGAAAAUUGUUUUGUUUUCGU